rnacentral:rRNA from 1 species
GUGGGGAAUUUUGGACAAUGGGCGCAAGCCUGAUCCAGCAAUGCCGCGUGCAGGAUGAAGGCCUUCGGGUUGUAAACUGCUUUUGUACGGAACGAAAAGCCCUGGGUUAAUACCCUGGGGUCAUGACGGUACCGUAAGAAUAAGCACCGGCUAACUACGUGCCAGCAGCCGCGGUAAUACGUAGGGUGCGAGCGUUAAUCGGAAUUACUGGGCGGAAAGCGUGCGCAGGCGGUUUUGUAAGACAGAGGUGAAAUCCCCGGGCUCAACCUGGGAACUGCCUUUGUGACUGGAAGGCUAGAGUACGGCAGAGGUGGAUGGAAUUCCGCGUGUAGCAGUGAAAUGCGUAGAUAUGCGGAGGAACACCGAUGGCGAAGGCAAUCCCCUGGGCCUGUACUGACGCUCAUGCACGAAAGCGUGGGGAGCAAACAGGAUUAGAAACCCGAGUAGUCC